ACAAAUCACAGACCCAGCCAUGUCGUUGCAUGGCUCCAUAUUUUAAUGAAGUCUGCAAUCAAAACCAUCCUCAUUUUUUUAUCAUGUUUGUUCCAAUGAGAUGUCUCUCAUUUCUUCCCUCUUUUUAUUUUAUUUCGUUGACGUUGUCGAGUACAAUUUUCUUCUUACGAGAAUUGAACAUUUUGGAAACAAUAAAUCCAUCAUUUCUGUCCCAUGCACCCUCUUGCUCUCCCUCAAAUUCAUGGCCACGUAUGUGCAUAGACACGUAUAUACAUUUAUUCCGAAAUACAUGAGUACAACCUGCUCAAGAUUUAGCAGAGAGUAGCAUACACGUGCAGUUAGUGAUAAACCACAACAGGAGCAGCCACAACAACACCGAUUGGCCUCGCAUGACGACAUGACCAUGACAUACACCACAGGAAGGACAAGUCCCAGGGAGAAGCCAGCCUUCCAGGAAUAAGAGACAAGAUGCAGGCCAUUUGAAAGGACACACUAAUCAUGCUCAUUCCUGUAUAAUAUGCAAGCAUGUCAUUGAAAGUUUCCAAGUGAUAAACUCAAGGUCUCAAACAAAGAAGUUGUAGGAGUCUGUAAGGCUACGUAUUCUAAACAGCAGCCUCAUUCUAAGGGGCUUCCUGACGUACCAUCCAGCUUGCUGAUGGGAAACAAGGUGUCUAGGGGUACUUGGCUCUGUGGUAUUACCAUCUUCAUGUAAACUGGUUUCCCUAAAGAUAUGCUACCACGUAGACGCCAUGGUAUUUUUACAACGGAACUGUCAUGUAUGAAAGUCAGGGUGAGAGUACAGCAGUCGUCAGCUGGCAAACUGAGAAAGGAUGACGACACUGCCUAGAGUACUACCUACCGGAACAGCAGCAAGGAGAAUGGCUUUGUCUACGGCCACAUUUCUGCCUUAGGCCUAGUCUUGUCCAGGCUGCCUCACUUCAGUGGUACUUAGAGGUUUUUAUGCAAUUCAUAUCAAAUCUUUCGCUCCCUCCCUGUCUACCCCAGGGCCUACAAGUCCCAAUAUUCUCUGAAAGUACUCCAAACACUGGUAUUUUUUAGAUUUAAGGCAUUACUUGUGGAUCGCUUCAGGACGAUCAUUGGUAGAUUAUGGAAAAACCAAAAACUGGUGACUGCGACUCAGGAACUCAGGAAUGACACUCAGCUACAAAGUCACUCCACUAGCCACCAGCGGCCCCUCACCAUGCAAAUGCCCAAACGGGCUUAAACUGUGAGCUACUUCAGCGGUAGGCCUGAUUUGCUUUGUGAAUCAUCUUCAAUCUUGCUGCAUACUCGGAAACAGUUCUUUUCAACGCUGGCGAGCUCAGCCAAUCUUUCUCCAGGGAAGCCAAGGAGCGUGAGAGGCUGCAUAAGGUAAUUUCCAUUUCAAUGAAAAUCACUGCCUAGACCGACUGGAGAUUUCCACUCAGCCUUCCAGUCUGAGGCAUACAUUGAAAACACCAAGUGGGCUGCUAGCAGGACUCUCCUCUCCCCGGUGCGUCAAGAGCAGAGAAGUGUCCCUGCUUCCGGAUUAGCAAGUCCCACUUCAGUGUGAUUCAUCUGGAAGGCUCCCAGGCUUCAAUGGAGUCUUAUCCUUCUGGAACAGAACGCCAGAAAUGGUCUUCAUUCCGUAAGUUGCUCUUGGUCAUGAUGUCUUAUCUUAGCAACAGGAAAGUAACUAAUAAAAUCAUUUUGAGAGUACGAGGGCAUUUUUAUUCCAAUAAUGUUUUAAAAGAUCAUGGAGAGCUGAAGAGUUAGAUGGUUCAGCAAGUAAAGGCUGCCAAGGCUGAUGACCUUAUGACCUGAAUUUGACCCCCAGGACCCAUAAGAUGGAAAGGGAAACAACUGCUACCUAUUGUCCUCUGACCUCAAUAUACACAACAUGGUAAAAGGUGUGCCCAUACGUAUAUGCACACACAAAUAAAAGUGGAAAAUAUCAAAGAUCAUUGAAUUACAUUAGCCUUCUGUGCUACCAAGACUAAUAAUCCAUUGUAAGGACAUGAUGUAGGCCUGGGGACAUGGCUUGGUGGCAGAGCGCUUGCCUGGUAUGUGUAAACCUCUAUAAGGAGUAAAUUCUAUAUAGCUGACAAAGAUUAUAUAUAUAUAUGUGUGUGUGUGUGUGUGUGUGUGUACAUUACAUAUACAUAAUAUAUUACGUAAUAUAUAUGUAUAUGUAUAUAUAUGAUAUAUAUCAUAUAUAUAUAAAAUUGUUUGGAAAAACUUGUACCUAAUCACUUAGUACCUAAUCAAUUAUUUAGUUCCUAAAUACUUAAUGUCAUAUUUUGCCAGCAUUUUGCCACAGGGUCUAAAAUUUAUGUGUCAAAGAAGAGAAUGAAUUUACUUCAACCUUAAAUAGUAUACUAGUAUAAGCCUGAACUAUAAUUAAUAUUGUAAGCUAAUCAAUGGGUAAAAUUAUAUGGCGAGUGGGAAGAAAUGAACCGGGCAGAAUUUUAAACCCAUGUUGCAUAGAUGAAGCAAAAAUCUGAGCUGAUAAUAUUUAUGUAACUAAAUGAGACUGAUUUUACUUCAAGGAUGGCUAAAAAUUUCCCAUGGUAAGUUACACAAGCUAUAAACCUUAUAUAUUUUUAGUCCCUGGCAACUCUUUUCUUGAAGGUUCAGUGGAUACUGUUUAUGCCAAAGCCAAUUCUUUCUCUGCAUGCUAGAGGAAAUCUACUGCGCGAACUUCUUUGAGCACGUCUGCGUGAGUACACUGGCUCGAUCUCAUCAACGUUGCCAUGGCAACUCUAGCUAAUUGGGCCUUGGCUCCAUGUUUAAGGGUAAAGAAAGGUGAAUCCAAACAAGAAGGACUAAGUUUUUACAGAAAUCAAAAACCAGAAUGAGUGUUGGGGAGUGUUUGAUAAUAGGCUGUGAGAAAUUCCAAAUUAAGACACAAAGGAAAGACGUGUUUUAAAUAUGUCAAACACCUAAAAUAUAAUUAAUGGGAAGUUAGACACAGUGGCACAGCCCUGUAAACCCAGCACUCAGGUAGGUAAGGUGAGAGGUAGGUAAUGUGUGUGUGUGUGUGUGUGUAUACAUAUAUAUGUGUGUGUGUGUGUGUGUGUAUAUAUAUAUAUAUAUAUAUAUAUAUAUAUAUAUAUAUAUAUAUAUUACAAUACAAUACAAUGAAAAUGAAAAAGCUCACUCCUGGCCUCCACCCUGAGGCAUUGGGGGGGGGGGGGGCAGUGCACACCUUUCACUCAUUCAACUCAUUCAGUUUACCAGGGAACAGUGUGGAAUGAACAGUGGUCAAGAAGGGCACACUGGGGACCUACCCAGCAUCCAAAAGCAGCAUCUCAGACCUGCAAGUUACCUUCCUUCUCUAUGAUCGUGUGGUCUGGAGACCCCCUUGUAUAGGGGACAGUGCUAUACAAAGAGAUGGUAUCUACUUUUUAAGGAGACAGAACUCUCCGCAAAGGAUGAAGGAGGCCCAAGAUGUUGGAGUUGGGGGGAAAGCAUCAAGCUGAUGGACAGAAACCAGUUGGUACCCAGACAACCCUCCUCAUGAGGGGCCUUUCCAGAGCUGCACCUAGCAACCAGAGCCCCACCCACACAUGUACAACAGCCGGACGAAAGGAUUCUUGUUCGCCUGACAAGAUACUGGUGCUGUGUGAAACCACCCUCAGGAGGCUUGACAGUGUUGCUCUCUUCUGGGCCUUGGAAACCUUUCUUUGCUUUUUUUUCUUUGGGACAUGAACAUGUGACUCAGGUACACAUUUGAAAAAAGCGGGGGGAAGGACCUACCCAAUGAAAUGCCUGGGGCCCAUGAUGGAUUCAGUCCUAACCUGUAGGAUGAUGUCAUACAAGUGAAGGCAGAUACAAGAUAGAACGAGGCCUGUCAUUGGACAAGAAGGAAGGAUGGGCGGGAGAAAAGUUUGAGGGAAGAGGAGGAGACUGGAACGGAAGGAGACUGGAGAGAGGAAGCUGCGGAGAGAACCUGGGAGCUGGCGUUAAGAUUCUACUCUGCCUAUUUACAGGUUGUUAUGAAUAUUCUUAAGGGAUGGAUGUGCACAGGGCUUUGUAUGUUUAGGUGGGCAAUUAUAUCUUAUCAACUGGAUCAGAGGUUAUUGUGUUGCGUGUUCUUUCUUAUGGCAAUUUAAGUUCAAGGUGGCGGCUGGGACACCAAACUGCCACAGAAUUAGGAUGUAUAUUUCUGCCAUGGUGGCAACCUGCCUUGGGAACUGGAUGGGUAGAGAGAUUGCUGCCUGGCUCAGAGAGAAGCCUUCGGCAGUGUGAUGUGGGAUGGAGCAAAGCGAGUGAGAGGCUUUGCUGACUGAGAUUAAGAUAUCUACCAGAUACCAUGGGGCACUACGGUGCAGUACCUAGAGUGGGUUAAAAGAUAGCCUGUUAUUUUUUUUUUAUAAUUUUACACUGACCACUGUAUAUUUGCUGGAACUCAGAUGUCCCAUAAGGGAUAGAAGUCAAAACUUUAAUCAAUGAGAUAGUCUCUGAUCACAAAGGACUUGUAGUCCUUCCGCCAAAAGCUAGUCUGCUCGAACUACACCACAGUUACUUUUAAGUAAAAAGCAUUUGCAUUAUUCUUCUGCUAAAAAUAAAUAAAUGAAUGAAUAAAUAAAUAAGCAAAAGAUUUAUACGAUCUGAAGAGAGUACUACUGAGCUGCUUAGAACAACAUAACUAUGAAAUUCACAAAUACACAGACGGAGAAACAGUAGAUGGAAAUACUCAUUCUGAAUGAAGUGACCCAGAUCCACAUUCUUCUCUCACUGGUGGCCAGGAGCACUGAGUCUUCAAAUAUGUUCCAUUUGGAAUACCCACACAGGUUAGGAUAUUAGCAAGGGUCAUGGGGCGGGGCUGGGGUGGGGGCGGGGGGAGUCCUCCCAAGGGAAUGGAGACAGAAACAGUGGCGUGAAGGGAUACAGGAGAAUGAUGGGAGGUUGAAUUAGGAUGGGAGAGGAGAGGGAAGGGUCCUGGACAAAAAAACAUGGGGAGAUAACUAACACUAAAGACAUUUUUGAAAAUGUCAUAUGAAACUUACUACUGUAGAAGCUUCCUAAACCCACACCCACGCACACACACACCUCACAAAGAGUGUCAGUGCAGUUACCCUAUAAUAAGUCAACAAUGUCCCUACUAUUUUCCACAAGCUAACAAAAAGUUCAGUACCAGAGACGAGUGACCUCUUUUGGAGUUAUUGGGGGACUUAAGGUCUCAGAGACCCCACCCCCCAAACAUCACAGGCUAGUGUCCAUCAGAGGUCUGCAAAUGGCCGAGUUGCAGAGAAGGGACUAUAAAGUGCUCCCCGCUAAGUGGGAAGUCUGCCAGGCCCCGCCAUGCAAGGCUUACAGACCAUUGCAGAAAGUGAGAAGGAAAUACCGCAAGAGCCGGAGCGACAACGAAGAAACUGGUUCCUGGACACGGCAAGCAUCUGCACAUGCAAGCUUACAGCCAUCGCGGCAGUACGCACAAGACCUGUACAAGCUCAAGCCAGAUAAAUCCCAGCAUGGAGCGGGAGCCGGGGCCCCCUAGCUGAGGGGAUAUUGGCAAUCAGUAGCUUGUAGGAGAGGGGAAGCCAGUUCCCUCUAAGGAUGUGGCCUGUUGGAGGCUGACUAGGCUCUAGUGGAAAAACCAUAUGCCCAAGAGCGUGUAGGCAGCACAAAGUUAGUUAUCGAGUUAGGCAGGUAGAGAGAGGAGGGGUAGGUCUGGGAGGUUCUCAGAGAAUAAAGAUAUAUAGGGGGGUGGAAAAGCAAGACUGGAACAAAUGAAGCAUUCCCAGUAUCCGAAGCUGGACGUUCUCUUAGGAGGGGAAGGCUAUUCACCAAUCCUUAGCCAUCCCACAGUCUGAGAGCUAAGGUAUCACGUCAGCAUGGGAACAGAGGGAUGGACACAAGCAUGCUGGGACAAUCUGGACAAAAGCAGGCACGCAGAAAGCCCACCCCUCAGCAGUGAGGACUUGAGGCGUGUUAAGAAUUCAUAAAACAUGGCAUCCUGUCCCUGGGCUGAGAUAUUCAGAAGGGAAGCCUGCCACCUUGAUACCCCUGAGUCCAGGAAGCCCAGUUAACCUGCUGCCCAGGUUAUCUCCGGGCUGGCUAAAGUCCAGCUCCACCCAAGCCAGGCCAAUGAGUCAGCUCUCCUCAGUCCCCUCAUGUUCCCUCCUGAAGCAGUCCGAAGUUCUUGCCAUAAGACUUAGCUCAUGGGCAGAAUUGGCUCUCGUUUGGUCUGAGGAUUUCCUUGAUGGUGAAUUUCAUUUACCAUAAAAAGAUGUAAUUAAGCUGCAUGUAUGGAUUUCCGAGUUUAAAUAAUCAGUUCCUUCUCUCUGGAUGCUCUGAGUGUCCUGUGUGGUGUGUGGAAAGGUGCUAUUUACAGAAGGAAGAUUGCACUUCUCGGACAUUCCAGGAGCCUCGUUCUCCCCUUCAUGACCCACCCCACCUAUAUUUGUGCUAGACCGAAGUAAAUGUGCAAACAGCACCCAUAAAAAGCAGCUGAAGGUGCACAUUCUUCAGCUCCAAUUAAGCCGGGAAAGCCUGGUUCACAGCUGCUUCUAUUCCUGAAAAUGUUUUCAUAAUAAACAGUGGAGCUUAAGAGCCAUUCCGUUCCCCGUCACCACAUUCUACAGUGUACGCCAACA